rnacentral:rRNA from 1 species
UGAAUGUAYCGSSGCCUAUACAGCUGUUGUAGUAUGUCACAGGCRCACGKUCCGCUGRAGGUACGCCMMUYGGAYUGARAACCGCCAGAYCUUACGGAGGCAGCAGUGGGGAUAUGMCAUGGGSGCAAGCUGAUGCAGSGACGCGCGKGAGGGAUGACGCUCGGGUGUAACCUCUUCCAGUAGGGAAGAAGSGAAAGUGACGGUACCUGCAGAGAAGCMCCGGCUAACUACGUGCCAGCAUUCUGYGUAUACGUAGGGUGCGAGCGUAUCCGGAAUAUUGGGCGUAAAGAGCUCGUAGGCGGUUUGUCGCGUCUGUCGUGAAAGUCCGGGGCUUAACCCGGAUCUGCGGUGGGUACGGGCAGACUAGAGUGCAGUAGGGGAGACUGGAAUUCCUGGUGUAGCGGUGGAAUGCGCAGAUAUCAGGAGGAACACCGAUGGCGAAGGCAGGUCUCUGGGCUGUAACUGACGCUGAGGAGCGAAAGCAUGGGGAGCGAACAGGAUUAGAUACCCUGGUAGUCCAUGCCGUAAACGUUGGGCACUAGGUGUGGGGACCAUUCCACGGUUUCCGCGCCGCAGCUAACGCAUUAAGUGCCCCGCCUGGGGAGUACGGCCGCAAGGCUAAAACUCAAAGGAAUUGACGGGGGCCCGCACAAGCGGCGGAGCAUGCGGAUUAAUUCGAUGCAACGCGAAGAACCUUACCAAGGCUUGACAUGUUCUCGAUCGCCGUAGAGAUACGGUUUCCCCWUUGGGGCGGGUUCACAGGUGGUGCAUGGUUGUCGUCAGCUCGUGUCGUGAGAUGUUGGGUUAAGUCCCGCAACGAGCGCAACCCUCGUUCCAUGUUGCCAGCACGUMRUGGUGGGGACUCAUGGGAGACUGCCGGGGUCAACUCGGAGGAAGGUGAGGACGACGUCAAAUCAUCAUGCCCCUUAUGUCUUGGGCUUCACGCAUGCUACAAUGGCCGGUACAAUGGGUUGCGAUACUGUGAGGUGGAGCUAAUCCCAAAAAGCCGGUCUCAGUUCGGAUUGGGGUCUGCAACUCGACCCCAUGAAGUCGGAGUCGCUAGUAAUCGCAGAUCAGCAACGCUGCGGUGAAUACGUUCCCGGGCCUUGUACACACCGCCCGUCAAGUCACGAAAGUUGGUAACACCCGAAGCCGGUGGCCUAACCCUUGUGGGGGGAGCCGUYRAUAGAUUAWGUUURYCCC